GGAUUCCCCGAGUAGCGGCGAGCGAAACGGGAACAGCCCAGCGCUGAAUCCUGCAGCCCGGAGCCGGGCUGCCGGGAAAUGUAGCGUUCGGCAGGAGAGUAAAAUUUAAACGCGCGGUCAUUAGUCACGGCUGCCAGUCCAAGUUCAUCUUGAACGGGGCCGCUUACCCGCAGAGGGUGCCAGGCCCGUGGCGACGGUAGCCGGCCGCGACGGUCUCCCUGCCCAGAGUCGGGUUGCUUGAGAGUGCAGCCCUAAGAGGGUGGUAAACUCCAUCUAAGGCUAAAUACCACCACGGGACCGAUAGCGAACAAGUACCGUGAGGGAAAGUUGAAAAGAACUUUGAAGAGAGAGUUAAAGAGUGCGUGAAACCGUUCAGGGGUAAACCUGUGGAACUCGAACGAGCGAACGGGGAGAUCAUCGCUCAUCCGACGGCGGCCCGCGCCUCUCUCGCCACCCGCGUCUCCCUCCUCGCGGAGGGGGCUCGGGGGCUGGAGGGUGCGCGAUCACGGUCCCCGGAGGGCGUGCACUUCUCCCCCAGUAUAACACCGCGACCCGUCGCGCUGCCGUCGAACGCGCCGUGCGGCAGUCCGGUCCCGUAAUGCGGGGCCGAGCCGCGGCGUCGACGCGUCGGCAGCAAACGUUCAUUCGCAGCGACGGUAGAGAACGAGGACCGGAUCCGCUCGACCCUCGGGUCGAGCGUCCGUCGCGCGUCAGCGGCGCCGAGCCGGCGGCCCCCGGCGCCUUGUGCGUCGCGGGCGUCGCCGGCCGGACGUCGGUCGUUAGGCGCGCGCUCUCGGACAGGAUCCGUCCCGGUCGGCGGUGGUUUUGUUUCGGGCACCCACAGGACCCGUCUUGAAACACGGACCAAGGAGUCUAGCAUGUGCGCGAGUCAUUGGGACUCGUAGAACUAAACCCAGAGGCGCAAUGAAAGUGAAAGGUCGGACCUCGGGUCCUUCCUGCGAGGGAAGAUGCGCGGGCGGUCCUCGGCCGCCCCGCCGCAUUCCCGAGGCGUUUCGAGAAAGCCACCGUGCGACUAUCGAGACGCACUGAGAGCGCACACGCUGGGACCCGAAAGAUGGUGAACUAUGCCUGGNNGGAACUGGGUAUAGGGGCGAAAGACUAAUCGAACUAUCUAAUANCUGGUUCCWACCGAAGUUUCCCUCAGGAUAGCUGGCGCUCGAGAAACAUGCGCGUGCCGCCCCUCGGGGCGCGCCGCAUUCGAACAGUCUCAUCCGGUAAAGCGAAUGAUUAGAGGCAUUGGGGCCGAAAUGGCCUCAACCUAUUCUCAAACUUUAAAUGGGUGAGAUCUCCGUCUUGCUCGAAGAUGAAGUCGGAGCUCGGAUGGGAGUGCCAAGUGGGCCAAUUUUGGUAAGCAGAACUGGCGCUGUGGGAUGAACCAAACGUCGAGUUAAGGCGCCCAACGGACGCUCAUCGGAGACCAUAAAAGGCGUUGGUCGCUCAUGACAGCAGGACGGUGGCCAUGGAAGUCGGAAUCCGCUAAGGAGUGUGUAACAACUCACCUGCCGAAGCAACCAGCCCUGAAAAUGGAUGGCGCUGUAGCGUCCGGCCUAUACUCGACCGUCGCAGGCAAGUGGGGCGUUCCGGACGGUGGGUUCGCCCUCCGUCCGCGUCUUGAGGCCGCGACGAGUAGGAUGGCCGCGGCGGUGUGCGCAGAAGGGUCUGGGCGUGAGCCCGCCUGGAGCCUCCGUCGGCGCAGAUCUUGGUGGUAGUAGCAAAUACUCAAGCGAGAUCCUUGAGGGCUGAUGUGGAGAAGGGUUUCGCGUUAACAGCCGUUGCACGCGAGUUAGUCGAUCCUAAGCCCUAGGAGAGAUCCGAUGUUGAUGAUGGUGUCAAGUUAUGUAUGUCCAUAUAUAUGUACGUGAUGAAACACACCCGUCGGGCGAAAGGGAAUCCGGUUGCAGUUCCGGAACCCGGCUGCGGAACCGUCUUAAAAAUCGUUCCCUCUCACAAAAGAGUGUUCGUCGGGGUAACCCAAAGUGGCCUGAAGACGCCGACGGGAGAUCCGGAGAGAGUUAUCUUUUCUGCCUGAGCGUUCGAGCGCCCUGGAAUCCUUUAGCGGGGAGAUAGGGCUCGGGACGCGAAGAGCAUCNCNGAUGCGGCGGUGUCCGGAUCGGC
rnacentral:rRNA from 1 species